UACGUAGGGGGCUAGCGUUGUCCGGAAUCAUUGGGCGUAAAGAGCGUGUAGGCGGUCCGGUAAGUCCGCUGUGAAAGUCGGGGGCUCAACCCUCGGAUGCCGGUGGAUACUGUCGGGCUUGAGUACGGAAGAGGCGAGUGGAAUUCCUGGUGUAGCGGUGAAAUGCGCAGAUAUCAGGAGGAACACCAAUGGCGAAGGCAGCACUCUGGGACGUGACUGACGCUGAGACGCGAAAGCGUGGGGAGCAAACAGG
rnacentral:rRNA from 1 species